rnacentral:rRNA from 1 species
GACGAACGCUGGCGGCGUGCUUAACACAUGCAAGUCGAACGGAAAGGCCUCUUUCGGGCGGUACUCGAGUGGCGGACGGGUGAGUAACACGUGAGUAACCUGCCCUUGACUUUGGGUUAGCUUACGGAAACUGGGGCGAAUACCGAAUAGAAGCUCCUGCUGACUGGUGGGGGUUGGAGAGUUUCGGCGUCUGGGGGUGACUUCGCGGCGUAUCCGCUUGUCGUUGGGGAGGUGGCUUGCCAAGGCUUUGCCGUGUAGCCGGCCUGUGGGGGUGACCGGCGACACUGGGACCUAGAUGCGGCCCAGACUCCGACGGGAGGCAGCUGUGGGGAAUAUUGCACAAUGGGUGGAACCCGGAUGCUGCAGGGCCGUGGGUGGGAAGACGGUCUUCGUGUUGAAAAACGCUUUCGCUCAUGACGAAGCUUUGUGUGACGGUAGUGGGUAAAGAAGCACCGGCUAACUACGUG